GACGAACGCUGGCGGCGUGCUUAACACAUGCAAGUCGAACGGAAAGGCCCCUUUGGGGGUACUCGAGUGGCGAACGGGUGAGUAACACGUGAGUAACCUGCCCUUGACUUCGGGAUAACUUCAGGAAACUGGGGCUAAUACCGGAUAGGAAUCCUUGCUGCCUGGUGGGGGUUGGAAAGCUUCGGCGGUUUUGGAUGGACUCGCGGCGUAUCAGCUUGUUGGUGGGGUAGUGGCUUACCAAGGCUUUGACGGGCAGCCGGCCUGAGAGGGCGACCGGCCACAUUGGGACUGAGAGACGGCCCAGACUCCUACGGGGGGCAGCAGUGGGGAAUAUUGCACAAUGGGCGGAAGCCUGAUGCAGCAACGCCGCGUGCGGGAUGACGGCCUUCGGGUUGUAAACCGCUUUCAGCAGGGGCGAAGCUUGUGGUGACGGUACCUGCAGAAGAAGCACCGGCUAACUACGUG
rnacentral:rRNA from 1 species